rnacentral:lncRNA from 1 species
UGGAAAUGAACAGUGUCCUGUAACCCUCAGAGUGAGACUAGAGUCAGAAUGCAGGCUUUUCUCAUUUGAAAUCUCAAGGUAAGUCCAGGUCCUUACCUCCACCUAAAAGUUCUGCCAUCAAGGAACAUCUGCUCAUUAUCUUCUGUUCACACAUCAAAUGACUUCAAUGUGAUCCCUGGAUGUUCUCCAAAGAGCUGAAGGGAAAUAAAUAUUCUUUCUUUAUCACCAAAUACUUCAACUGCAGAGUGAUUGUGCUACCAAGGCCUGAAACUUCGGAAAAACCUGCAUAACACAAAAUAUAAAAUAUGCCACAGAGAGGAUCCAGAGAGCCCAUCUCCGGUCAGUUAUCUGUAUUUGUAUGUCAACUACAGCAUCAAAAAGCAUAGGCAUGGAUACUAAGGACCCCCUCUGUACACCAACGCCAGUCCAAAGGACAGUGUGUCACUGUGAACUGGAAAUUCAUCUCUCUUCUUCAAUUUUUUUCUACCUACUUUAUGCUUUAUCUCUAAGUUGAGGCUGUUUAUGGCCUCAUCCUCAAUUACCUUGUCCCUCAUUACUCCCAGUUAAUGGAGAUUAAGCUUUGUAUCAUGACUUCCUAACUAAAAUUGAAAUCACAAGACAUCACAUAAAUAAAGUU